rnacentral:rRNA from 1 species
UACAGAGGGUGCAAGCGUUGUUCGGAAUUAUUGGGCGUAAAGGGCGCGUAGGCGGUGCCACAAGUCACCUGUGAAAUCUCCGGGCUUAACUCGGAGCCUGCAGGCGAAACUGUGGUGCUGGAGUGUGGGAGAGGUGCGUGGAAUUCCCGGUGUAGCGGUGAAAUGCGUAGAUAUCAGGAGGAACACCGGUGGCGAAGGCGGCUCUCUGGACCACAACUGACGCUGAGGCGCGAAAGCUAGGGGAGCAAACAGG